rnacentral:rRNA from 1 species
AUUGAACGCUGGCGGCAUGCUUUACACAUGCAAGUCGAACGGCAGCACGGGUGCUUGCACCUGGUGGCGAGUGGCGGACGGGUGAGUAAUACAUCGGAACGUGUCCUAAAGUGGGGGAUAACGCAUCGAAAGAUGUGCUAAUACCGCAUAAUCUCUAAGGAGAAAAGUAGGGGAUCGAAAGACCUUAUGCUUUUGGAGCGGCCGAUGUCUGAUUAGCUAGUUGGUAGGGUAAUGGCUUACCAAGGCGACGAUCAGUAGUUGGUCUGAGAGGACGACCAGCCACACUGGGACUGAGACACGGCCCAGACUCCUACGGGAGGCAGCAGUGGGGAAUUUUGGACAAUGGGCGCAAGCCUGAUCCAGCAAUGCCGCGUGAGUGAAGAAGGCCUCGGUGUAAG